GCAUAAGCUAGUAAGACCCCUUGAAGACUACAAGGUUGAUAGGUCAGAGGUGUAAGUGCGGUAACGUAUUUAGCUGACUGAUACUAAUAGGUCGAGGGCUUGACCAA
rnacentral:rRNA from 1 species